UGGGGAAUAUUGGACAAAUGGGGGCAACCCUGAUCCAGCCAUGCCGCGUGAGUGAUGAAGGCCUUCGGGUUGUAAAGCUCUUUUGGCGGGGGUACGAUGAUGACGGUACCCGCAGAAUAAGCCCCGGCUAACUUCGUGCCAGCAGCCGCGGUAAGACNAAGGGGGCUAGCGUUGUUCGGAAUUACUGGGCGUAAAGCGAGUGUAGGCGGUUUGCCGUAGUCAGGUNUGAAAGCCUUGAGCUCAACUCAAGAAAUGCACUUGAUACUGGGUGACUAGAGGACCGGAGAGGAUAGUGGAAUUCCCAGUGUAGUGGUGAAAUACGUAGAGAUUGGGAAGAACACCAGUGGCGAAGGCGGCUAUCUGACGGUUACUGACGCUAAGACUCGAAAGCGUGGGGNGCAAACAGGAUUAGAUACCCCUGGUAGUCCACGCCGUAAACGAUGGGUGCUAGACGUUGGCGAGCUUGCUCGUCAGUGUCGCAGCUAACGCGUUAAGCA
rnacentral:rRNA from 1 species